CUUUAUUAUUAGAAUUUUUUUAAUGUCUGGGAUCUUGUUUUUUUAACCCUCAACAUAUUUCAUGAGUAUCAAGCAUGUUUUCAAACCUUGAUAUAUGACCUUUAAACUGAUUUUUGGACCUCGGCGAGAUGUCAGGGGCUUGCUCCGCUCUCGCCACGGGUUGGCCUGUUGCAGUACCUCCAGGAUCGGCCCAUAAUAA